UACGGGGGGGGCAAGCGUUGUUCGGAAUUACUGGGCGUAAAGGGUGCGCAGGCGGCCGAGCAAGUCGGGUGUGAAAGCCCCGGGCUUAACUUGGGAAUUGCGCUCGAAACUACUUGGCUGGAGUGUGGCAGAGGAAGGUGGAAUUCCACGUGUAGCGGUGAAAUGCGUAGAGAUGUGGAGGAACACCAAUGGCGAAGGCAGCCUUCUGGGCCAACACUGACGCUCAUGCACGAAAGCGUGGGGAGCAAACAGG
rnacentral:rRNA from 1 species